AGAUAGGUGGCCGAGUUUACAGGCAGUAGAUUGUAGCUCUUCCAACGGAUCCCACAUCCCCUAUCUA
rnacentral:tRNA from 1 species